CUGCGCUCGGCCAGGGCGAGGCUGGAUUCCCCUUCUGCAGCCUGUAUCCCUCAGGUCUGGCGGGAAGAGCAUGGUUUCGUGGAUUGGGUCCUGCGCGGCGGAGGCCUGUGAACCCCGCCAGGUCCGAGAGGAAGCAACGGUAAGCGGUCACCUUCGGGUGCCGCAGGGCAGCCUGGUCCUGGCCUGUUCUUCUCGCCAAGCCUGCGGGAUAGGGUCGCAAGAGGGGGCGCGG
rnacentral:SRP_RNA from 1 species